UACGUAGGGGGCGAGCGUUGUCCGGAUUUAUUGGGCGUAAAGAGCGUGUAGGCGGCUUGGUAGGUCUCGCGUCAAAACCUGCGGCUCAACCGCAGUUCGCGUGGGAAACCACCUAGCUAGAGUCCGGAAGAGGAGAACGGAAUUCCCAGUGUAGCGGUGAAAUGCGCAGAUAUUGGGAAGAACACCAGUGGCGAAGGCGGUUCCCUGGGACGGUACUGACGCUGAGACGCGAAAGCGUGGGGAGCGAACAGG
rnacentral:rRNA from 1 species